UGGGGAAUAUUGGGCAAUGGGGGAAACCCUGACCCAGCAACGCCGCGUGAAGGAAGAAGGCUUUCGGGUUGUAAACUUCUUUUGUCAGGGACGAUAAUGACGGUACCUGACGAAUAAGCCACGGCUAACUACGUGCCAGCAGCCGCGGUAAUACGUAGGUGGCAAGCGUUGUCCGGAAUUACUGGGCGUAAAGGGCGUGUAGGCGGGGAGACAAGUCAGAUGUGAAAUCCCGAGGCUUAACUUCGGAGCUGCAUCUGAAACUGUUUCUCUUGAGUACUGGAGAGGAAAGUGGAAUUCCAAGUGUAGCGGUGAAAUGCGUAGAGAUUUGGAGGAACACCAGUGGCGAAGGCGGCUUUCUGGACAGUAACUGACGCUGAGGCGCGAAAGCGUGGGGAGCAAACAGG
rnacentral:rRNA from 1 species